rnacentral:pre_miRNA from 1 species
AUGUAGGGCAGUCUCUGUCUUUAAGUAGGGGUAAAUUACUCUAAAGAAAUGGAUCCUAGAUAGUUUUCCCUUCAAAGUCAAGCGUCUUGU